rnacentral:rRNA from 1 species
GAUGAACGCUGGCGGCGUGCCUAAUACAUGCAAGUCGAGCGAACGGACGAGAAGCUUGCUUCUCUGAUGUUAGCGGCGGACGGGUGAGUAACACGUGGAUAACCUACCUAUAAGACUGGGAUAACUUCGGGAAACCGGAGCUAAUACCGGAUGAUAUUUUGAACCGCAUGGUUCAAUAGUGAAAGACGGUCUUGCUGUCACUUAUAGAUGGAUCCGCGCUGCAUUAGCUAGUUGGUAAGGUAACGGCUUACCAAGGCAACGAUGCAUAGCCGACCUGAGAGGGUGAUCGGCCACACUGGAACUGAGACACGGUCCAGACUCCUACGGGAGGCAGCAGUAGGGAAUCUUCCGCAAUGGGCGAAAGCCUGACGGAGCAACGCCGCGUGAGUGAUGAAGGUCUUCGGAUCGUAAAACUCUGUUAUUAGGGAAGAACAAAUGUGUAAGUAACUGUGCACAUCUUGACGGUACCUAAUCAGAAAGCCACGGCUAACUACGUG